rnacentral:lncRNA from 1 species
UUGUUGUUUCCAAGGUACGCUUGUUUUCCAAGGAAGUGCCUCGGUGGCCGUCUCAUGGGGCAGAAAAAGAUCUGGGCUUCCUAAUCCGAUGUCAACCACAGCAGCUUCAAUUUAAAUUCAUGUCAUCAGCCUCCAGGAAGAGGCUAUUUGAUUGGAUGUGAUGGCACCAGAGGCAGAAAUGUGGCAAAAUUUUAAAUGGUGAGAAAUCCAUCUCAGCUACCUGGAUUUUGAGAAACAAAUUGUGAUUUCUCGACUCACUUUGAAUUGAACUGUGCAAGUUAGAUGAACUAAAAAAGCUUCAUUGACUUGUCUACUUGUCCGCUUGUCUCCAAGUCAGUCAAGUGUUUGUGAAUGCUGCCUGUUUUCUACCCUGUAUAAUUAUUCAAAUGAUUAACUUAAGGGUGAAUAUAAAGGUAUAUAAACAUAAGUAGAUGCCCUUGAAAUAACAAAGCCCUCAGACCUUACAUAAGCAGGCAUUUAGAAGGUGAAAAACAAAUCAGGUGUGUUGAUUGUUCCUAAAGAUUGUAACAGAAAGAUUCUAAGCACUUACCUGGGAAUAUACUGUGAAGAGAGCAUGUGGUCUAUUGAUCCAGGCAUCCCUAAUACCUGGCACAUAGUAGGUACUCAACAGAGUAAGUGCUUAACAUAGGAAGUGCUUGAUAAAUUUGUGUUGAAUCUAUAGUACUCUGUCUUUUAUUGCCUAGUCAUGAACUUGUCUCAACACACGUGCAUACACACACACAUAUUAGGUUGUGAGCUCUUAGAGGAGAAGGUCUGUCUUAUUCACCACUGUAUUCUCUAAUACAGAACCACCAAAUAAGUGGCAAUCAUUAAUGAUCAUCAAAUUGAAGUAAAUUCUAUGACUUGUUUUCUUUAUCUCGUUUCCCUCACCCUAUCUUGUCCAUUUGGCUCUCAAGCCAGAAUGCCUGAAAUGGCUGCAUUAAUCUAAUCAAAUAUGUAAAAGCCAAGACCUUGAAAUCUUUCAAAUCAAGCUCUGAAUUACAUUUUUAAAUUUACCCUGGCCAUUUCAUAAGUAGAUUUAGCAACUAGCUAACUGCUAUCCCAGGAGGGGAAAAAAAAACCCAUAAGCUUAAUGAAUUUGGUCAGACAUACAGUGUAACAGAUGUCCAACAUGCUGCCAUGAACUUAAAUCAUAGAUAUGAUGCCUCUGUUUGGCAUGGCAAAAUAUAUUAGAACUGUUUCAUCAGUCACUGGGCAACUUGCUAGAUGGAGGGGGAAUAAUCCUGAAAAAUGCAGGAGCUGCUUCUAAUAGCAUCUAAAAGGAUCCCUGGAGAAACACAGAUAAUCUGCUUGCAGUGAUUCAUC